rnacentral:rRNA from 1 species
UACGGAGGGGGCUAGCGUUGUUCGGAAUUACUGGGCGUAAAGCGCACGUAGGCGGCUUUGUAAGUUAGAGGUGAAAGCCCGGGGCUCAACUCCGGAAUUGCCUUUAAGACUGCAUCGCUAGAAUUGUGGAGAGGUAAGUGGAAUUCCGAGUGUAGAGGUGAAAUUCGUAGAUAUUCGGAAGAACACCAGUGGCGAAGGCGACUUACUGGACACAUAUUGACGCUGAGGCGCGAAAGCGUGGGGAGCGAACGGGG